GAACAGUCUAAACGAAAUUCAGACGAUGAAGAUACAUGCGAAAGAAGCUCGAAGCGAUGGCAUGGUGCACAAGGCAAUGGAGGGCCAACGGCGGCGUGGCCGAACCUGGCAAAUGCGCAGGCACGCGCGGCCCAGCAGGUGCGUGGCCCAACAUGUGGGGAUGCACCGCGGCCCAGCAAGUACAUGGCCCAAUGCAUGGG
rnacentral:lncRNA from 1 species